rnacentral:rRNA from 1 species
GAUGAACGCUGGCGGCGUGCCUAAUACAUGCAAGUCGAACGAAACUUCUUUAUCACCGAGUGCUUGCACUCACCGAUAAAGAGUUGAGUGGCGAACGGGUGAGUAACACGUUGGCAACCUGCCCAAAAGAGGGGGAUAACACUUGGAAACAGGUGCUAAUACCGCAUAACCAUAGUUACCGCAUGGUAACUAUGUAAAAGGUGGCUAUACUACCGCUUUUGGAUGGGCCCGCGGCGAAUUAGCUAGUUGGUAGGGUAAAGGAUUACCAAGGCAAUGAUGCGUAGGCCAAGCGAGAGGGUGAGCGGCGAAAUUGGGACUGAGACCAGGCCCAUACAACUACGGGAAGCAGCAGGAGGGAAUAUACGAUAAAGGGCGAAAGCCGGAUGGAGCAACGCCGGAAGCGUAGAGGAGGUCUACGGAUCGUAAAACGCAGUUAUUAGAGAAGAAAGAGCAUGAGAGUAACUGGUAACGUCUGGAAGGUACCUAAUAAGAAAGCUGAGGCUAACUACGUG